UCAAGCGUCCUCCGGUUAACGAGUCUCGAUGUUGCAUAAGUAACAGAUACCCGAGGGAAAUUGUGAUUGUUUCACCAACAAAACGUCAUAAUGAUACAGUGCCAAUGCUAUUUUUAAAAAAAUAGAUAAUACUAUUAAGAUUGCCAGAAUGUUCUGCCCUUUCAGCAGUGGUUCAAGUGGUAACAUACCAGAAUGAGACGCAGCUUUUCCUGAAAAAUCAAAGACUCUUAUGUAAUAUAAUCAAUCCGAAGCAAAUUUCUCCAACUGAAUAGAAGUUUUUCAAGUGUUCAUCUUCUCUCCAACUUCACUCAAAGACAUUUCACCUUCUAAAGGCCCUCUUUCGCGCAGAUUCCAAAAAAGUCAAAAAGAAUGAAUAUCCCUAUAGUUAGCCCUAUUCGCACAAGAAGGGAAGUCCCAACACUACAAGAAAUCGCACGUAUUUCUUGUGCAGUUUUAAUUUCAAACUUGGAUCAAAUUAAGCGUAUGUGUGAAAACAUAAACAGUCACAUUAAUUGCGAAUUUGUAACUCCUGAUAUGUUAUCGAAUAUGGCAAUUUAUCCAGAUGAAAGAAUUAAAAACGAAUUUAAAUUGGAGGCUGUAAAUAAACUAAAGGAUAUCUGCAUCCCUAAAAUAGUUAAAGCGGAACUUGCUGACUGCCUUUGCACAAUUUAUUCCGAUACCUUCAAAUUUCUUAACAUAAACUAUGUACUUCUGUUUGAAACACUCGAUUUAAAGACUUGCAUUGUUCUUUACUCCAACGGAUCGAUAAAUCAAAGAGAAAGUCUUCGUAGAAUAAUAAAUAACCCUAAUCUGAGUUGCAGAAUAAAAUUUGCCAGUGCUUAUGAAUUACGUUUUCCCCGAAGGACACUAUUAGGAUAUUGAAUGAAGUGAGAAUAUAUCGUAUUUUACAGAAGACUUUGUUUCAGUUAUUUUAGUUAGAAAUCUCUAUUGUAAUGAAGAGGAAAACAAUUAUCUUAAUAACAGAAGACAGUAACAAGAUGAAGAACAUAUCGCUUGGAUUAAUAUAGCUUGUAGAAAUGUGGAUUUUACUAAAAUAAGAAGACUAUGUGAAAAUCUGUAUGUCAAUCUAGACUAUUGUGUAUCAUCCCCUCAUGCGGCCUGGGAAAGGGAAUUAUCUUAUGAUAAUAGCAAGAUUUGAAAUCAGAUGCUCUAUAGAGACUCGGCGUUUAUCGUCUUGAGAAAGCUUACAGUUAAAAUUAUGGAUCAUCUUUUACCUCUAUUCACAAAUGUGCAACUUUAUUAACAUAAACAAUACGCCCACUGAUUUCAAAGCAUGCAUCGUUCUUAACCUCGAUGGAUCAAAAAACAAAAUAAAGUAACAAGUUCUCCAUUGCUUGUGCUUUAUAUUCUGAAGAAAUUCUUCUUAAAUGUAUGGGAUAAUGUGACAGAAGAUGAUGUGUACUCUUAUAGAACAUCGAAUAUCUAUAAAGACAAAGUUAAACCUCCAUUUAUGAAGUUGUGGAGAGAUAUUCCCCUAGAUGGAAAAGAGGAUUGGCUAUUAUGCAAGAAUUUCCCCGAGUGUAUUGCACCUCAUUGUGAAGACGCUCAUUAUAUUAUAUUGUUAUAAACCUAUAUUCGAUUAUAGGCCUAUUUUAUUUUACUUGUGAAACCAGAUUCCAAAAAAGUCAAAAACUAGGAAUAUGGCAGCUGAAGGAUCUCAGGAGGAGUUUUCAGAGAAUGUCGCACCACUAAAACAAAAGGCAUUUGUUUCUUUGGCAGUUUUAAUUGCAAACUUUGAUAAAGUAAAGUACUUCUGUGAAGAGGACCAACGCUGUCGCACAAUAUACUUGGCGCGUAUAUUAGGAUGCUCAACCAUUGGUCUUUCGUUUCCGCCAACGGUAAUUAAUGAGAAUGAUCUACAAGUUCUUCAGAUGGAGGCUAUGGCUAAGCUCCCGAAAGAUGGCAGCAUCCCGGACGAACUUAGAAAAGAACUUGACGACUACCUUCACAAAAUUUAUACAGAAUUCUACAAAUUUCUUAACACGAACUCUGCGCUUUUAAGCGAGAACAGUAAUUUGAAAGAGUGCAUUGUCUUUAAUGCCGAUGGAUCGAUAAAUCGUUGCAAAACUCAGAACAAAAUAAUAAAUAAUCCUAAUCUGAGUUCCAAAACAAAAUCUGAGUUUCAAAACAAGAUCGGCCACCCCGCUUUUAAGCAAAAAAAGUAAUUUCAGAGAAUGCAUUGUCCUUUAUGCCGUCGGAUCCAUAAAUCGUUGGAGAACUCACAAAAAAUUAAUAAAUAAUCGUAAUCUGAGUUUCAAAACAAGAUCAGCCAGUGCUUGUAAAUUGCAACCCAUUAUCCAGAGACAUGGUGUAAAAGCAUAUGAGGUUUUUCAUAAAAUUUAGUUUCUGUUAUGGCAGUUAGAAAUCUCAUCUUGUAAUGAUAAUGGGAAAAAAAAAACUCUUAAUAGCUAAAGACAACAACAGAUGAUGAAGGUGAACACACUCUUGCUGUUUAAAGCAAUCCUGUAAUAGAAUUGAAUCUCAUUUUUCCUUCUACAGAGCAGCGAAACAAUUUUCAAAACAACAUUCAGUAAGAAUUAAUAAUAUUUUUAUAAUGGAACAACGUUGCCAUAGAAUCUUAAUUAAUCUUUAGAAAUUAUCGAUAAAUUUGUGUAGAUACUAUGGAUUAUUUCCAUAACUAAGUGAGAAAUUAUAGGAAUGUACAAAUAUAAUGACGCUGAGAACUUGCCUUUCUCACCAUUUCUGUCACAUUCUUCAGCGUAAUUGAGAGAAUCUCAAAACAGCGGAAUGCUAUUUAAUAAGACAUUGAGUAUAUGAUUUAGUUACAUUUUUAUGAAAGCAAACAUCCUGCUCCAAACGACGAUAAAAGAAAAGUGAUGAAACUGGAAACUUUCUAGUUUCUUCUUUCGCGGUUGGUGAAACUUAUUAGAGCAUUUCAUCUAGUUCUUUAGUGCUGUAUUUAAGUCGAAGUGUGUAUUAUUCCCUAUAGGACAUUAUUGCGAUAUGGAAUGAAGUGGCAGGAUAUGAGAUUUUUCGGAAAAUUUAGUUUCUGUUAUGGUAGUUAGAAUUUAAUAUUGUAAUGAUGUGGGAAACAUUCUGUUAAAAGCAUAAGACAACUACGAAGUAAAGAUGGACACACUCUUGUGAGUUUCGUUUCUACUACUAAAACAAAACUCACAGCAAGCAGACCAGUAAUAAAACAGAGCAUUUGGUAAAUGACUUGAAUACAUUUUUAUGAAAGCAUGCAUGUCUGGAUACUGGAAUAGACUAUUCCGAUGUAUAUCAAAAUCCCAGAGAAAUGACUGUAAAUACUGUACAUCAUUUUUUAAAUCCUGACUAAGCGAUGAAAAUCGAAAGUAAUGGAACUGGAAAUUUUCUAGUUUUGAUGAAAAUUAUUUGAGCAUUUUAACUAGUACUCUUGUACUAUAUUCGUGUCGAAGUGUGUAUUUAAAUUCUGUGGACAAAGUUUAUUGCAUGUUUGUGAUUUAAAAAUUCUGCUGCCAUAUCUUCUAAGUUAUUUCUUUCAGCUUGGAAAAAUGGGAUUUACUUUUUUUAGUAUUUUUAUCGAUGAUUUUAAGUGUUUCAUAUAUUAAUUGGUGUUAUAUUUGUUAUUUACUACCUUAUAUAUACAUUUGAGAAUAAUGUAUUUGUUGAUUUCUUUGCUAUUCACUUGUACAUGUCACAGCUUAUGUGAAUGCAUAGUUCUCAUGUUAUGAAAGUUCUUUAAUUCAUUGUAAAUAUCAUCAUUCUGUAAUUUUUAAUAACGGUUUAAAAUUUUAAUAAUGUUUUCCUCUAUUUUUCUUCUUUAUGAAUUUUGGUUCUAUUCUAUAAUAUAAGGAAAUUCAGAGUAAAUUCUUGUUAGAUUAAUGUAUUUGUUUGAAGUAUUUAAUAUUUUAAUAUUAUUCAGGCUUUUUAAUUUAUCAAAUUUUAUAAAGCUAUCCCAAUCAAAAUGUACAUUUUUGUGCAAAUUUCACUACUUAUUAUUUGUUUAUAUUUUAAAGACUUUAAUAUAUUUCAAGUAUUCAGUAAUACUUUCAGAAUACUUCCAGUAUUUUCUUCGAUGCUUUUAAUUGUUUUAUAUAUUUGUUGGUGUUAUAUUUUUUAUUUACUGUUAUAUAUAUAUGGGUUGUUGACUUGUGUUCGAUUCACUUAUACAUGUCACAGCUAAUGUACAUACAUAAUUCUCAAUACAUAAUUCUCAUGUUAUGAGAACUCUUAAAAUCUUUGUAAAUAUUCAUUCUAUUAUUUUUAAUAACACUUUGAGCUUUCGUUCCACUAUUUUUUCCCCCUUCAUUAACGCAAUUCAUUUCUACAAUCUAAAGAAAUUCAGAGUAAAUCUUGUUAAACGAAUGUAAUUAUUUCAAAUAUUUAACAUUCAAAUUAUUUUAAUAAUUAAAUUUAAUAUUAAUUCAUCAAAUUUUAUAGAACUAUCCCAAUGAAAAUGUACAUUUUUGUGCAAAUUUCACUAUUAUUAUUUAUUUAUAUUUUAAAGAAUUUAAUAUAUUUCAAUUUUUUUGAAUUCAACAUAAUUUCAUGAUACCAUGAAAAGUGAGAUAAAACUUUUUCUUGGGAUCGAAUAAUUUUAAUUUUUAUCAUUUAAUAUUUUUUAAAAUAGCUUGAUUUUAAUAGCUCCAAUUGCAUUGAUACGACAGUGUCUUGUUUUAUUUUCAAAGAAAAUUAUUGGAUAAAAGUAACCGCCUUGAAUAUAUGUAUCUUAACAUACAGAACUUUUUGAAUGUUUAUUCAGUAAUGCAUAUGUACUUUCAUGCAUUAAAUAAAUUGCUUAUCUUCACUUUCA